rnacentral:rRNA from 1 species
GACGAACGCUGGCGGCGUGCUUAACACAUGCAAGUCGAACGAAGGGCGACGGAAGCUUGCUUCUAUCAAUCUUAGUGGCGAAUGGGUGAGUAACGCGUAAUCAACCUGCCCUUCAGAGGGGGACAACAGUUGGAAACGACUGCUAAUACCGCAUACGAUCUAAUCUCGGCAUCGAGGAUGGAUGAAAGGUGGCCUCUACAUGUAAGCUAUCACUGAAGGAGGGGAUUGCGUCUGAUUAGCUAGUUGGAGGGGUAACGGCCCACCAAGGCGAUGAUCAGUAGCCGGUCUGAGAGGAUGAACGGCCACAUUGGGACUGAGACACGGCCCAGACUCCUACGGGAGGCAGCAGUGGGGAAUCUUCCGCAAUGGACGAAAGUCUGACGGAGCAACGCCGCGUGAGUGAUGACGGCCUUCGGGUUGUAAAGCUCUGUUAAUCGGGACGAAAGGCCUUCUUGCGAAUAGUGAGAAGGAUUGACGGUACCGGAAUAGAAAGCCACGGCUAACUACGUG